rnacentral:rRNA from 1 species
AGAGUUUGAUCCUGGCUCAGGAUGAACGCUGGCGGCGUGCUUAACACAUGCAAGUCGAACGGAGCUUAAGAGGAAGCUUGCUUUCAUUUUAAGCUUAGUGGCGGACGGGUGAGUAACGCGUGAGCAACCUGCCCUUCAGUGGGGAAUAACACCGAGAAAUCGGUGCUAAUACCGCAUAAUGUCGGAGGACCGCAUGAUCUUCCGACCAAAGGAUUUAUUCGCUGAAGGAUGGGCUCGCGUCCGAUUAGGCAGUUGGCGGGGUAACGGCCCACCAAACCGACGAUCGGUAGCCGAACUGAGAGGUUGAUCGGCCACAUUGGGACUGAGACACGGCCCAGACUCCUACGGGAGGCAGCAGUGGGGAAUAUUGGGCAAUGGGCGAAAGCCUGACCCAGCAACGCCGCGUGAAGGAUGAAGGUCUUCGGAUUGUAAACUUCUUUGAUUGGGGAAGAAUAAAUGACCUACCCAAAGAACAAGUCACGGCUAACUACGUGCC